GGGAGGUAGUGACAAUAAAUAACAAUACAGGGUCCUUUUGGGUCCUGUAAUUGGAAUGAGUACAAUUUAAAUCUCUUAACGAGGAACAAUUGGAGGGCAAGUCUGGUGCCAGCAGCCGCGGUAAUUCCAGCUCCAAUAGCGUAUAUUAAAGUUGUUGCAGUUAAAAAGCUCGUAGUUGAAUUUCGGGGUUAGUAAGUUGGUCAUGCCAUUGGUAUGCACUGGCUUUACUGAUUCCUCCUUCUUGACGAACCGUGAUGUCAUUAAUUUGGUGUUGCGGGAAAUCAGGACUGUUACUUUGAAAAAUUAGAGUGUUUAAAGCAGGCUAACGCUUGAAUACAUUAGCAUGGAAUAAUGAAAUAGGACGUUUGAUCCUAUUUUGUUGGUUUCUAGGAUUGACGUAAUGAUUAAUAGGGAUAGUUGGG
rnacentral:rRNA from 1 species